rnacentral:tRNA from 1 species
GGGGCUAUAGCUCAGCUGGGAGAGCGCCUGCUUUGCACGCAGGAGGUCUGCGGUUAGAUCCCGCAUAGCUCCACCA